UCCAGACUCCUACGGGAGGCAGCAGUGGGGAAUAUUGCACAAUGGGGGAAACCCUGAUGCAGCGACGCCGCGUGAGUGAAGAAGUAUUUCGGUAUGUAAAGCUCUAUCAGCAGGGAAGAAAAUGACGGUACCUGACUAAGAAGCCCCGGCUAACUACGUGCCAGCAGCCGCGGUAAUACGUAGGGGGCAAGCGUUAUCCGGAUUUACUGGGUGUAAAGGGAGCGUAGACGGCAGGGCAAGUCUGAAGUGAAAGGCCGCGGCCCAACUGCGGGACUGCUUUGGAAACGGCCCGGCUAGAGUGCUGGAGAGGUAAGCGGAAUUCCUAGUGUAGCGGUGAAAUGCGUAGAUAUUAGGAGGAACACCAGUGGCGAAGGCGGCUUACUGGACAGUAACUGACGUUGAGGCUCGAAAGCGUGGGGAGCAAACAGGAUUAGAUCCCCCCGUA
rnacentral:rRNA from 1 species